rnacentral:rRNA from 1 species
AGUGAUUACUCCUACGGGAGGCAGCAGUGGGGAAUAUUGGACAAUGGGGGGAUCCCUGAUCCAGCCAUGCCGCGUGUGUGAAGAAGGCCUUAUGGUUGUAAAGCACUUUAAGCGAGGAGGAGGCUACUGAGACUAAUACUCUUGGAUAGUGGACGUUACUCGCAGAAUAAGCACCGGCUAACUCUGUGCCAGCAGCCGCGGUAAUACAGAGGGUGCGAGCGUUAAUCGGAUUUACUGGGCGUAAAGCGUGCGUAGGCGGCUUUUUAAGUCGGAUGUGAAAUCCCCGAGCUUAACUUGGGAAUUGCAUUCGAUACUGGGAAGCUAGAGUAUGGGAGAGGAUGGUAGAAUUCCAGGUGUAGCGGUGAAAUGCGUAGAGAUCUGGAGGAAUACCGAUGGCGAAGGCAGCCAUCUGGCCUAAUACUGACGCUGAGGUACGAAAGCAUGGGGAGCAAACAGGAUUAGAUACCCUGGUAGUCCAUGCCGUAAACGAUGUCUACUAGCCGUUGGGGCCUUUGAGGUUUUAGUGGCGCAGCUAACGCGAUAAGUAGACCGCCUGGGGAGUACGGUCGCAAGACUAAAACUCAAAUGAAUUGACGGGGGCCCGCACAAGCGGUGGAGCAUGUGGA